rnacentral:rRNA from 1 species
AUUGAACGCUGGCGGCAGGCUUAACACAUGCAAGUCGAGCGGAGAGAGGUAGCUUGCUACUGAUCUUAGCGGCGGACGGGUGAGUAAUGCUUAGGAAUCUGCCUAUUAGUGGGGGACAACAUUUCGAAAGGAAUGCUAAUACCGCAUACGUCCUACGGGAGAAAGCAGGGGCUCUUCGGACCUUGCGCUAAUAGAUGAGGCUAGGUCGGAUUAGCUAGUUGGUGGGGUGAAGGACUACCAAGGCGACGAUCUGUAGCGGGUCUGAGAGGAUGAUCCGCCACACUGGGACUGAGACACGGCCCAGACUCCUACGGGAGGCAGCAGUGGGGAAUAUUGGACAAUGGGCGCAAGCCUGAUCCAGCCAUGCCGCGUGUGUGAAGAAGGCCUUAUGGUUGUAAAGCACUUUAAGCGAGGAGGAGGCUACUUUAGUUAAUACCUAGAGAUAGUGGACGUUACUCGCAGAAUAAGCACCGGCUAACUCUGUGCCAGCCGCCGCCGUAAGAC